AUUUUUUUAUACUAUUAAUUUUAUAUUAUUUCAGGCACUUCUCAAAGUAUGCCAUUGAUAAAAAACAGAGACUGGGAGAAAAACUGUAAGGAGAACAUUCCCAACUAUAUAGAAGUCCCAAAUGUAUUUGACUCUUCAACACCAAAGGCUAUGCUGCGAAAACCAGUCUCUAAAGAGUUAUCUGUGUCCUACGACAAAAGGAAAAGUUAUUUUAACCCGUUGGAAACAAGGAAGCGGAUUAUGACAUACACGGAUAAAUAAAUUAAUUUUUUGAAACAAAAAGAAAUAAGAGAGCAUCAUUUGUCAAAUUAUGCUAAAGAAGAGCAUGAAAAACAUAUGCUGCACAAAGAAGAGGCUCACAAAAAAUCCAUGCUGCAUAAAGAGGAAGCACAUCAAAA